rnacentral:rRNA from 1 species
UAGGGAAUCUUCCGCAAUGGACGCAAGUCUGACGGAGCAACGCCGCGUGUGUGAAGAAGGAUUUCGGUUCGUAAAGCACUGUUAUCAGAGAAGAACGGUCUGUAACUAACUACUACAGGAUUGACGGUAACUGAUCAGAAAGCCACGGCUAACUACGUGCCAGCAGCCGCGGUAAUACGUAGGUGGCAAGCGUUAUCCGGAAUUAUUGGGCGUAAAGGGAGCGCAGGCGGUCUAUUAAGUCUGAUGUGAAAGCCCACGGCUCAACCGUGGAGGGUCAUUGGAAACUGAUGGACUUGAGUGCAGGAGAGGAAAGUGGAAUUCCAUGUGUAGCGGUGAAAUGCGUAGAUAUAUGGAGGAACACCAGUGGCGAAGGCGACUUUCUGGU